CUGGGUAUAACUUUCUUUCUUUCUUUUUUUUCUCUCCCCUUCGUUGGAUUCGUGGGUGGAGACUGCGAGGGAUGGUGGGGUGAAUGGCUGGAAGGAUGAGCGCGAGGUGGAGGUGGGAGCAUUGCCUCCGUUCGACCACUCUCGGCUUCUUCUUCUCCGCCGCCGUCCUCCUGGGAUCGGUCGCCACCCUCUUCGCCUGGCUCACCUUCUCUCCCUUUCCAAGACCCAUCGCCUCGGUCUCCUCCUCCUCCGCCGCCCUCGGCUGCCGCCCUGACGGCGAGGGGUCCUGGUCCAUCGGUAUCUUCUAUGGCGACUCCCCCUUCUCUCUCAAAGCCAUCGAAUCUAGGAAUGUAUGGAGGAACGAAAGCGCAGCGUGGCCGGUGGCGAAUCCUGUGUUUACGUGCGCGUCGGCUUCGGAUGCUGGAUUUCUGAGCAAUUUUGUCGCCGAUCCCUUCCUCUAUAUCCAGGAAGAUGCAUUUUAUUUGUUUUUCGAGACCAAGAACUCCAUCACAUUGCAAGGAGACAUUGGUGUUGCUAUGAGCAAGGAUAAGGGUGCGACAUGGCAGCACCUGGGUAUUGCAUUGGAUGAGGAAUGGCAUCUUUCUUAUCCAUAUGUUUUCAGCUACCAGGAUCGAAUCUACAUGAUGCCUGAAGGCAGUAAGAAAGGGGAGCUCCGGCUGUAUCGAGCAUUGGAUUUUCCCUUGAAGUGGAAAUUGGAAAAGGUCAUCCUGAAGAAGCCCCUUAUAGAUUCAUUCAUUAUAAAGUAUGAUGGUUACCACUGGCUGUUUGGGUCAGAUUUUAGUGCUUUCGGUGCCAAAAAGAAUGGAGAGCUUGAAAUCUGGUACAGCAACUCUCCUCUUGGUCCUUGGAAACCCCACAAGCAGAACCCGGUUCAUAACACUGAUAAGAGCUUGGGUGCUAGAAAUGCAGGCAGGCCAUUCUUUUACAAGGGCAAGCUCUAUCGCACGGGGCAAGAUUGUGGUGGCACAUACGGGCGGCGGGUACGUGUGUUUAGGGUUGAGGUUCUCACCAUGGACGAAUUUGAGGAAGUUGAAGUCCCAUUUGGCAUUGAUGAGCCCCGAAAAGGCCGUAACACUUGGAAUGGGGCUCGUUAUCAUCACCUAGAUGUGCAAGAGCUUCAAUCAGAUGAAUGGGUUGGAGUGAUGGAUGGUGAUCGAGUUCCUUCGGGUGAUUCUGUUGGCCGGCUUAUUAAGGGCUACACAGCAUUUGGGGCAGCUAUCACUCUAGUAAUACUGUCGGGAAUGUUGUUAGGUGUAAUCAAGUGUAUUUUGCCCCUUAGUCGGUGCCUUCCCAUCUCAGGAAAGCGAAGUGAUGCCUUCCAGGCGGGAGAGAAGCAUCGUCAUCUAUAUUCUAAGUUUAGAUGGCUGUUUGCUCAUGUGAACAAGCUAGGUUCUCCAAUCCAAGGAAGAAUCAAGCCUACCACCUGUACAGGCCGGUCAGUUCUAGCUGUUAUAUUUUUGUUCAUAGUUGCAUUAACCUGUAUUGGCACCCAUUACGUAUAUGGGGGCAAUGGUGCAGAGGAGGCUUAUCCGAUGAACGGACACUUCUCUGAGUUCACACUGCUCACCAUGACAUAUGAUGCCCGCCUGUGGAAUUUGAGGAUGUUUGUGAAGCAUUACUCAAGAUGCUCUUCAGUAAGGGAGAUUGUGGUAGUGUGGAACAAAGGCCAGCCUCCAAAUUUGAGUGACUUGGAUUCCACCGUGCCGGUUAGGAUCAGAGAGGAGGAGAGGAACUCUUUGAACAACAGGUUUAAUGCAGACCCACUGAUAAAGACACGGGCAGUGCUUGAACUUGAUGAUGAUAUCAUGAUGACAUGUGAUGAUGUGGAGCGUGGAUUCAAGGUCUGGCGUGAUCACCCUGAUAGAAUUGUGGGAUUCUACCCACGACUCGCGGAAGGAAGCCCGCUUAAGUAUCGGGAUGAGAAGUAUGCUCGGGGACGAGGAGGGUAUAACAUGAUAUUAACAGGAGCUGCAUUCAUAGAUCAUAAUUUGGCUUUUAAAAGAUACUGGAGCAAGGAGGCAGAGGAGGGAAGGAAGCUGGUUGAUAAGAAAUUUAACUGCGAGGAUGUGCUUCUGAAUUUCUUGUAUGUGAAUGCAAGUGAGUCAAAGAAGACGGUAGAGUAUGUGAAGCCUGCCUGGGCUAUAGACACAUCAAAAUUCUCUGGUGCAGCUAUCAGUCGGAACACACAGGCACAUUAUCAAGCAAGAAGUGAGUGCCUCGUUAAGUUUUCGGAGUUAUAUGGGAAUUUGGCUGCCAAUAGAUGGGGUUUCGAUAGCCGGAAAGAUGGUUGGGAUGUAUAGUAGCAUGGGCUUUUGGCAUGGUUCUGUCUACAAUUUUGCCCAUUCCAUCUCGUGACUCUAGUUGCCAUCUGUAACUGUAUUUUAUUUUGUGUUAUUUUGCACUUUGGGGAAUAUAGACAGCUGGGGCUAUCUAACAUGUAAGAUUAUUUUCAGAGUUACCAACAGAAUGCCAAAUUGACUUCAAUAUCCAAUGUUUUGUGAAAACGCUAUGCAAGUAAGCAAAUUUGCAUCUAUAAUAAGCAUCCACCAAAGUGAUGAGAAUCAAUCAAGACUGCCUUAUGAUGGCCUCUGAUUUAUCCAAAAGUAUGUUGGUGUUUCUGCACAUAUUAGAAGCUUAUUUAUUUCAACAUCCUGUUAACUUUUUGUCAUCUAAUUAUCUUCCACCAGUAAUGAAGAAAGAAGAUUACAUAGAUGAUUGAAAACCUUAAUACAAGUGUUUUACAAUGAAUGGAUGUUGUUGGAGAAGGCAUGCUGUGGUGUAAAGGCCAAAUUAUGGCAGUCUAAAUUGAAGACAUGUCGGCAAUGGUGGUAGACAAAAUGAAGCCCUUCAUCUGUAAGGUCAUUUGGAAACUGAUGGAAUGAAAAUAACGGAACCAUGCUCCUCUGGUCAAAAUUUACAGCUGUUCUUCAGAAAAAUGACAAUCUCUUGCUGCAAACAUCAGAAGAUGGAAUGCUUUAGUUAGCCAAUUUUUAUAUUGAGAAAUUCAAGUGCAGAAUUGCUACUUACUAUUAGGCAUAGAAGCAC